CUGAGACAGACGCUGAGGCGGGUAGGAGGAGCCCGAGCCGUAAGGGAAGCCGUGAUGAGGGCCGUGUUGACGUGGAGAGAUAAAGCCGAGCACUGUAUAAAUGACAUCGCAUUUAAGCCUGAUGGAACUCAACUGAUUUUGGCUGCCGGAAGCAGAUUACUGGUUUAUGACACCUCUGAUGGCACCUUACUUCAGCCCCUCAAGGGACACAAAGACACUGUGUACUGUGUGGCAUAUGCGAAGGAUGGCAAGCGCUUUGCUUCUGGAUCAGGA
rnacentral:lncRNA from 1 species